UUCAAAGAGAAGUUGAAAGUCAAAUUAUAUUCUUGGUUUUUAUCAAUGUAUUGUCUAAUGUGGAAAUAUCGAAGUUGCAGAGAGCGGACAACUGCAAAUUGAGAUUCUGAAAAUGAGGAAUAAAGGCGAUCACAGGGGAGAGGAAGAGUGUUUUAAUCAGAUGAUAAUGAAUAAAUGUCAGUGACAACACCACCAAGGCCUUUAAAUGUGACCGUGGCAAUGGCAGGACUAUUCUGCAAGCAUCACAUCAGUAACUACAAGAUCCCCCAACAGUUGCACCAUAUCUACAGAGGCUGUCGUGAAAUCCCGUCGUUUCUCACGGGAGAGGUACGAGAGACAUAUGCCGCCUGAAUGAGGGCAACAUCGGAAAGAGAUGGUGGAAGAGAAAUAAAGAGAGAAAUGAGGCAGGCGCAGAUGUCUGGGUGCAUCCAUGGAACACCAGGAUGAAAAAACAAUCUUAUGUUAAAAACCCUUAAUGUUUCAUGUAGGAGCUUUACAUUAAGUAGUGUUCAAUGAAAUAACUCUUAUUUCAAGUCAUAUGUUGUUUGUUUAUUUAUACAGUGACCGUCUAUGUGUAUUAUGGCAUGUCUGUGUAUCAUAACUUGUACAUUUUGAUAAAACUGUUCAGGGGUUUUAUCCACAUUCUGUGAUAACCCUGU